rnacentral:rRNA from 1 species
CCUACGGGAGGCUGCAGUGAGGAAUAUUGGUCAAUGGGCGGAAGCCUGAACCAGCCAAGUCGCGUGAGGGAUUAAGGCCCUGCGGGUCGUAAACCUCUUUUGCCGGGGAGCAGAGGUCCGGACGUGUCCGGGCCGGGAGAGUACCCGGAGAAAAAGCAUCGGCUAACCCCGUGCCAGCAGACGCGGUAAUACGGAGGAUGCGAGCGUUAUCCGGAUUUAUGGGGUUUAAAGGGUGCGUAGGCGGGCAUUUAAGCCGGCGGUCAAAUGUCGGGGCUCAACCCCGGCCUGCCGUCGGAACUGGGUGCCUUGAGUGGGCGAGAAGUAGGCCGAAUGCGUGGUGUAGCGGUGAAAUGCAUAGAUAUCACGCAGAACUCCGAUCGCGAAGGCAGUCUACCGGCGCGCAACUGACGCUCAUGCACGAAAGCGUGGGUAUCGAACAGGAUUAGAUACCCGGGUAGUC